GGUCCUCGGCUCCUGGUGGAAUGACACCGCUGAGGUCCAGCUCUGGGUACAAGGCCUGGACUGCAUCCCGACCGUCUUCGUACCCCACCCGGUACGAUGCGAAGCCGGUCUCCAGCAGUUCCUUCCGAUACCUGUCCGAACCACGAAAGUCGUCCGCCGCCCGACUCAGUGACUCCUUCGCCGACCUCGCCUCCACUUCCACCCGAUCGAGGGAGCCCUUCGCAGACUCCACCUCUGCCUUC
rnacentral:lncRNA from 1 species